rnacentral:rRNA from 1 species
CAGUCGCCGCGGUAAUACAGAGGAUGCAAGCGUUAUCCGGAAUGAUUGGGCGUAAAGCGUCUGUAGGUGGCUUUUCGAGUCAGCCAUCAAAUCCCUGGGCUCAACCCUGGACAGGCAGUGGAAACUACCAAGCUGGAGUACGGUAGGGGCAGAGGGAAUUUCCGGUGGAGAGGUGAAAUGCGUUGAGAUUGGAAAGAACACCAACGGUGAAAGCGCUCUGCUGGGCCGACACUGACACUGAGAGACGAAAUCUAGGGGAGCAAAUGGGAUUAGAGACCCCCGUAGUCCCUGUCUCUUAUAC